GCCGGGGAGUUAGCGGUGCCCUGUACCUGCAAUCCGCUAUAGCAGGGGUGAUGGCUGGUCCGAGGGAUGUUUUCAGUAGGGCUGCCCUUGGUAAGUGAUGUUGAUGUCUGGGUCUUACGCGACAGGUGCCUGCGAACCGUGUCAGGUUGGGAACAAAGCAGCACUAAGUAGGAUUUCUCUGUGCGCCGUGAGGGCGCCUGGGCUGAGUUAACUGCCAAGGUAACGCUUAU
rnacentral:SRP_RNA from 1 species